CAGCUGGCAGAGAUCAGAGAGCAAAGGGAGGGUCAAACACUGUUUAAAUACCACAAAUUUUAGCCAGCAUUUCCCAGUGAGGUGAAUAUCAAACAAUCAGAAUUUAGGUGAAUAUUAAAUCGUCCAAAUUCAGGUGAAUAUUGAAUGAUCAGAAUUUUGGACAUGCUCUUGCAGCCUUUGACUGCAGGGCCUGAUGGGCCCCAGCUGACCCAGACUACUUAAGGCUUCUCUGCUAUGGAAUCACAGCCCUGGAGCAAGGAAUACUGAGAGGCUCAGGUGCAACAACAUCUUCAUGAAGACUUGCUGCAGGCUCCAGGAGCAAGGACUCCAGGCUUCAGGGUCACCCCACGAUGGAUAACCACCUCUUCCUCAGGGCAUCAUUCCUCAUUCCAUCAGGAAUUUGCCUGGAGAAGGCCAGUCCUGGGUCACAAGGUUGGUGCUUGCUAUUUUUUAGGAAGUUUUUACUGGCUGGUUGAAUUUUUUUUUCCUCACACUGAGCUAUGAUAUUGAUUUCAGUUGAAAAGCUUCAGGUUUAGGUACAAGUUCACAGCGUAGCAAUUUAGGCUGGAUCAUGGCUUGCAUUUCUCCUGUCAGGUUUGAAUUUCAGCACACAGGAUAGCUCUGAAUGAAAAGUUCAGUUUACUGCAUUUUAUUGGUUUAUUAUAUAUUUAUGCUGUAUUAUAAAACCGAUGCACCAAGGCUGCAAUAUUUCCCUUGAAUGAGGAGAAGCAAAUACAUUGUAGAGAGUUAAAUACACCAGCAGUUCAGGCAAGCAACAGUUGUAGCUGUGUUAUAUAUAGGUAUGUUUGUACAGACAUAUUGUUAAGGAUACUUUCCCUUUAAUGGAAUAUUUAAGUGAUAGCUUUAAAUAUGUAACUUCUUUUAAAAAGCUCAACUUGAUCUCCAGGUAAAUGAAACAGACUCUGCCAGUGAGAGAAGAUCAGAGUAGAUAACAGUGUAGGACAUGGUCCUUCCAACCCCACAAUCCCAG